GGGUUGUGAGGUUAAGCGACUAAGCGUACACGGUGGAUGCCCUGGCAGUCAGAGGCGAUGAAGGACGUGCUAAUCUGCGAUAAGCGCCGGUAAGGUGAUAUGAACCGUUAUAACCGGCGAUUUCCGAAUGGGGAAACCCAGUGUGACUCGUCACACUAUCAUUAACUGAAUCCAUAGGUUAAUGAGGCGAACCGGGGGAACUGAAACAUCUAAGUACCCCGAGGAAAAGAAAUCAACCGAGAUUCCCCCAGUAGCGGCGAGCGAACGGGGAGGAGCCCAGAGCCUGAAUCAGCAUGUGUGUUAGUGGAAGCGUCUGGAAAGGCGCGCGAUACAGGGUGACAGCCCCGUACACAAAAGCGCAUAUGCUGUGAGCUCGAUGAGUAGGGCGGGACACGUGGUAUCCUGUCUGAAUAUGGGGGGACCAUCCUCCAAGGCUAAAUACUCCUGACUGACCGAUAGUGAACCAGUACCGUGAGGGAAAGGCGAAAAGAACCCCGGCGAGGGGAGUGAAAAAGAACCUGAAACCGUGUACGUACAAGCAGUGGGAGCCCCACCACUAAGCCAGUGGUGAACUCCACAUACGCAUCCUUUGCUGAGGAUACGGUUAACGGAGCGAAAGCGACGUUCAACCGCAAAAGAAGCAGAGGGGGCUUAGUGGUGGGGUGACUGCGUACCUUUUGUAUAAUGGGUCAGCGACUUAUAUUCUGUAGCAAGGUUAACCGAAUAGGGGAGCCGGAGGGAAACCGAGUCUUAAUUGGGCGUUAAGUUGCAGGGUAUAGACCCGAAACCCGGUGAUCUAGCCAUGGGCAGGUUGAAGGUUGGGUAACACUAACUGGAGGACCGAACCGACUAAUGUUGAAAAAUUAGCGGAUGACCUGUGGCUGGGGGUGAAAGGCCAAUCAAACCGGGAGAUAGCUGGUUCUCCCCGAAAGCUAUUUAGGUAGCGCCUCGUGAAUUCAUCUCCGGGGGUAGAGCACUGUUUCGGCUAGGGGGCCAUCCCGGCUUACCAACCCGAUGCAAACUGCGAAUACCGGAGAAUGUUAUCACGGGAGACACACGGCGGGUGCUAACGUCCGUCGUGAAGAGGGAAACAACCCAGACCGCCAGCUAAGGUCCCAAAGUCAUGGUUAAGUGGGAAACGAUGUGGGAAGGCCCAGACAGCCAGGAUGUUGGCUUAGAAGCAGCCAUCAUUUAAAGAAAGCGUAAUAGCUCACUGGUCGAGUCGGCCUGCGCGGAAGAUGUAACGGGGCUAAACCAUG
rnacentral:rRNA from 1 species